UACGUAGGGUGCAAGCGUUGUCCGGAAUUAUUGGGCGUAAAGAGCGCGUAGGCGGUCCGAUAAGUCGGCUGUGAAAGUCAGGGGCUCAACCCUUGAAAGCCGGCCGAUACUGUCGGACUAGAGUUCGGAAGAGGCGAGUGGAAUUCCCGGUGUAGCGGUGAAAUGCGCAGAUAUCAGGAAGAACACCAACGGCGAAGGCAGCUCGCUGGGACGGUACUGACGCUGAGACGCGAAAGCGUGGGGAGCGAACAGG
rnacentral:rRNA from 1 species